rnacentral:rRNA from 1 species
AUGGAGCUUGCUAUAUCUGCAGUAGCAGGUGAACUCGUGAGCCGAUUCGUUUCCUUCCUCGCCAACAGGUACCUCCACUCUAGCUGCCGGGCACAGUGGGAAGAGAAGCAGCUCAAGAAGCUGCAGCUGCUGCUCCUGAGAGCUCACACGGUCGUCGAGGAGGCGGAUGGGCGAUACAUCACCAACUCCAGGAUGUUGGCACAGCUCAGCAUGCUCGCGGACGCCAUGUACCGAGGCUACUGGGCACUAGGUGCGUCCAGGUACAUCUCACUCGAAGAGUCCAUGGAGGAGGGGGUGGUUCCCAAUCCAUCUCCUCACAAACGUUUUUGCAUGGUUCAUGGAAGUGCUAGAAAGAACAAGGCCACAUCCCUCGUCGACGUGCAGGGCGCGUUGGAGAGCUUGGAGGAUGUAGUCGCUGGCAUGACGGAGUUUGUUGUUCUUUUGGGUGGAUGCGACCGUAUGCUGCGUCGACCAUACGAUGCGUAUCUAUACAAUGACAACAUCAUGUUUGGACGUCACGCCGAGAAGCAAAAGCUCCUGAACUUCAUGUUGCGGCACAACUCUCCUGGUGGUGGUGCACCGGCUGUCCUUCCGAUCAUUGGUGCUUCUGAAGUCGGGAAGAGGACUCUGGUUGCCCAUGUAUGCAAGGACGAGAGGCUCAGCUCACACUUCUCUUCAAUUCGGUACCUGAGUGGAAAUUCCUUCAGUAGAAUCGCAGACCAUGGUAGUAUCAUGUCAGGGAAGACACUAGUAGUUGUUGAGCUUGUCUCAGAUGUGGAGGAGGAGUAUUGGGCCAAGUUCUGCUCAUUCGUGGUGAGCAUGGACAGUGGAAACAAGGUGGUCAUCAUCAGCCGGCUUAAAAGUACAGAGCGACUUGGAACAGUGGAGCCAAUCUUCCUCAGCACCCUGUCAUACGAGGAGUUCAGCUACCUAUUCAAGACACUCGCGUUCGGGAGCGCGAAUCCAGCACAGCACCCGCGGUUAGCGUGGAUAGCAGACAAGUUGGCCAGGGAAUUCCAUUCAGAAUGGUCCCUCACCGCUGCGAACAUAUUUGCAGACUUGAUGAGAAGGAAUCUGAACGUUUGUUUCUGGGCCGGCAUGCUGAGCAGGCUGAGAAGGGUCGUUGAGAGGAACCUCUCCAUGUUUGGGGAGCACCCGAGGUUUCUCGUU